CGCAUCUUGCGCCCAAUGGUAUUCCGUUGGGCAUGCCUGUCUGAGUGUCCCUAACCUUCUCAGUCGAUACUUUUUUAUUAUGAAAUGGUCAUCGAUCUGGAUUUUGAGUGUUUUGCUUUUUUGUAAUGAAAAAGCCACUUUAAUCAAAAGGUCAACUUGUAACUUUACGGUUUGACCGGGUGUUGUAAAAUCGCCUCACUCGGGACGUAAAUUACAAGUUUUAUUUAGCGAUUUUAGACCUCAGAUCAGGUAGGAUUACCCGCUGAACUUAA
rnacentral:misc_RNA from 1 species